GCAGUCGAGCGGACUUGAUGGAGUGCUUGCACUCCUGAGAGUUAGCGGCGGAAGGGUGAGUAACACGUAGGUCACCUGCCCAUAAGACUGGGAUAACCCACGGAAACGUGAGCUAAUACCAGAUAGGCGUUUUCCUCGCAGGAGGGAAAUGAGAAAGGCGGAGCAAUCUGUCAUUUAUGGAUGGACCUGCGGCGCAGUAGCUAGUUGGUGAGGUAACGGCUCACCAAGGCGACGAUACGUAGCCCACCUGAGAGGGUGAUCGGCCACACUGGGACUGAGACACGGCCCAGACUCCUACGGGAGGCAGCAGUAGGGAAUCUUCCGCAAUGGACGAAAGUCUGACGGAGCAACGCCCCGUGAGUGAUGAAGGUUUUCGGAUCGUAAAGCUCUGUUGCCAGGGAAGAACGCCUAGGAGAGUAACUGCUCCUAGGGUGACGGUACCUGAGAAGAAAGCCCCGGCUAACUACGUGCCAGCAGCCGCGGUAAUACGUAGGGGGCGAGCGUUGUCCGGAAUUAUUGGGCGUAAAGCGCGCGCAGGCGGCAAUGUAAGUUGGGUGUUUAAACCUAGGGCUCAACCUUGGGUCGCAUCCAAAACUGCAUAGCGUGAGUACAGAAGAGGAAAGUGGAAUUCCACGUGUAGCGGUGAAAUGCGUAGAGAUGUGGAGGAACACCAGUGGCGAAGGCGACUUUCUGGGCUGUAACUGACGCUGAGGCGCGAAAGCUUGGGGAGCACACAGGAUUAAAUACACUGG
rnacentral:rRNA from 1 species